rnacentral:rRNA from 1 species
AGAGUUUGAUCAUGGCUCAGGAUGAACGCUGGCGGCGUGCUUAACACAUGCAAGUCGAACGAACCUUCGGGUUAGUGGCGGACGGGUGAGUAACGCGUGAGAAUCUGCCCUCAGGAGGGGGAUAACGGUUGGAAACGACCGCUAAUACCCCAUAUGCCGAGAGGUGAAAUGAAUUUCGCCUGAGGAUGAGCUCGCGUCUGAUUAGUUAGUUGGUGGGGUAAUGGCCUACCAAGACAUCGAUCAGUAGCUGGUCUGAGAGGAUGAUCAGCCACACUGGGACUGAGGCACGGCCCAGACUCCUACGGGAGGCAGCAGUGGGGAAUUUUCCGCAAUGGGCGAAAGCCUGACGGAGCAACGCCGCGUGAGGGAUGAAGGCCUCUGGGCUGUAAACCUCUUUUAUCAAGGAAGAAGAUCUGACGGUACUUGAUGAAUAAGCCACGGCUAAUUCCGUGCCAGCAGCCGCGGUAAUACGGGAGUGGCAAGCGUUAUCCGGAAUUAUUGGGCGUAAAGCGUCCGCAGGCGGUCUGUCAAGUCUGCUGUUAAAGCGUGGAGCUUAACUCCAUUUCGGCGGUGGAAACUGACAGACUAGAGUGUGGUAGGGGCAGAGGGAAUUCCCGGUGUAGCGGUGAAAUGCGUAGAUAUCGGGAAGAACACCAGUGGCGAAGGCGCUCUGCUGGGCCAUAACUGACGCUCAUGGACGAAAGCCAGGGGAGCGAAAGGGAUUAGAUACCCCUGUAGUCCUGGCCGUAAACGAUGAACACUAGGUGUCGGGGGAAUCGACCCCCUCGGUGUCGUAGCCAACGCGUUAAGUGUUCCGCCUGGGGAGUACGCACGCAAGUGUGAAACUCAAAGGAAUUGACGGGGGCCCGCACAAGCGGUGGAGUAUGUGGUUUAAUUCGAUGCAACGCGAAGAACCUUACCAGGGUUUGACAUCCUGCGAAUCUCUUGGAAACGAGAGAGUGCCUUCGGGAACGCAGUGACAGGUGGUGCAUGGCUGUCGUCAGCUCGUGUCGUGAGAUGUUGGGUUAAGUCCCGCAACGAGCGCAACCCACGUCGUUAGUUGCCAGCAUUUAGUUGGGCACUCUAGCGAGACCGCCGGUGAUAAACCGGAGGAAGGUGUGGAUGACGUCAAGUCAUCAUGCCCCUUACAUCCUGGGCUACACACGUACUACAAUGCUACGGACAAAGGGCAGCAAACUCGCGAGAGCUAGCAAAUCCCAUAAACCGUGGCUCAGUUCAGAUCGUAGGCUGUAACUCGCCUACGUGAAGGAGGAAUCGCUAGUAAUCGCAGGUCAGCAUACUGCGGUGAAUACGUUCCCGGGCCCCUUGUAGACACCGCCC